UGGGGAAUAUUGGGCAAUGGGGGAAACCCUGACCCAGCAAAGCAGCGUGAGGGAAGAAGGUUGUCGGAUUGUAAACCUCUGUCCGUGGUGAAGAAAGAGAUGACGGUAGCCAAGGAGGAAGCCCCGGCUAACUACGUGCCAGCAGCCGCGGUAAUACGUAGGGGGCGAGCGUAGCCCGGAAUGACUGGGCGUAAAGGGCGCGUAGACGGCUGUCUAAGUCUGGAGUGAAAGUCCUGUUUUCAAGGCGGGAAUUGCUUUGGAGACUGGAUGGCUUGAGUGCGGAAGAGGUAAGUGGAAUUCCCAGUGUAGCGGUGAAAUGCGUAGAGAUUGGGAGGAACACCAGUGGCGAAGGCGACUUACUGGGCCGUAACUGACGUUGAAGCGCGAAAGCGUGGGGAGCGAACAGG
rnacentral:rRNA from 2 species